UGCUGUGGAAGCAGGAACCACCCAGUACCGAGGAAGAUCAGUAUUCAAUAGCAACCGCAUAUGAAACCGUUCAAAAUCAGCUUCCCACCCGCAUCAGAAAGACAGAAAGCCGUUAGGACCCAGCGCUAACCAAACCCAACCAUGGAAAACGAACUUCCUCUGAUCCAUGGCUGGCUUCUCAUACCCCUCAGUUUUUAGGUGGAGGAUGAACCAUGGAUUCACUUCUCUUACCUGUUUCUCUUCACUUCUGAGCUCCCUGUUUAUAUGUGCCUGGGCAUGGGUUGACAGCUCUUCCAUUACCUACAAUAAAGAACA